AUGUGGGAGCGCAUCCCUGUGGGCCGUAACUUGACCAUUGCUCCGGAAGAACCUUGGGAGUGGCCUUUUGACGGGGAUGAGGAGCGGUAUCCCACUAUCGCAUACACGUGGGCUACUGUCCAAGUGUCGAGUAUCGCCGCCAUGGGGCGGUACAAGGCAUACAUAAGCGAGCUUGACAUGCUUACUUACAACCAGGCCGUACAUGGUACUUAG
rnacentral:rRNA from 1 species